rnacentral:rRNA from 1 species
UACCAUGGUUUUAACGGGUAACGGGGAAUUAGGGUUCGAUUCCGGAGAGGGAGCCUGAGAAACGGCUACCACAUCCAAGGAAGGCAGCAGGCGCGCAAAUUACCCAAUCCCGACACGGGGAGGUAGUGACAAUAAAUAACAAUAUGGGGCUCUUACGAGUCUCGUAAUUGGAAUGAGUACAAUUUAAAUCUCUUAACGAGGAACAAUUGGAGGGCAAGUCUGGUGCCAGCAGCCGCGGUAAUUCCAGCUCCAAUAGCGUAUAUUAAAGUUGUUGCAGUUAAAAAGCUCGUAGUUGAAUUUCGGGGUCUAUCCGUUGGUCGGGCUUUUGGGUCCGUACUGGCGUUAUGGAUUCCUACCUUCUGAAUAACCGGCAUGCYAUUAAUUUGGUGUGCUGGGGAAGCAGGACUGUUACCUUGAAAAAAUUAGAGUGCUUAAAGCAGGCUAUWGCCUGAAUACAUUAGCAUGGAAUAAUGAAAUAGGACGGCAUGGUUCUAUUUUGUUGGUUUCUAGGAUCACCGUAAUGAUUAAUAGGGAUAGUUGGGGGCAUUAGUAUUCAAUUGUCAGAGGUGAAAUUCUUGGAUUUAUUGAAAACUAACUUCUGCGAAAGCAUUUGCCAAGGAUGUUUUCAUUAAUCAAGAACGAAAGUUAGGGGAUCGAAGACGAUCAGAUACCGUCGUAGUCUUAACCAUAAACUAUGCCGACUAGGGAUCGGACGAUGUUAAUUUUAUAAUGACUCGUUCGGCGCCUUACGGGAAACCAAAGUGUUUGGGUUCCGGGGGGAGUAUGGUCGCAAGGCUGAAACUUAAAGGAAUUGACGGAAGGGCACCACCAGGGGUGGGAGCCUGCGGCUUAAUUUGACUCAACACGGGGAAACUCACCAGGUCCAGACAUAGUAAGGAUUGACAGAUUGA